ensembl:misc_RNA 7SK 7SK RNA
UGUAAGCAGGAUAUGAGGGCAACCCAUUGAGCACCAGGGUUGAAUUCGGCUAGGUUGGCUAGGCGAGUGGGUGUACCUUUCCUCCCUUACCACUCUGUGUGUGUCCCUCCAGAAGCUGCAGGCUUGGUGGACAAGGACAACCACCCCCAUAGAGGAACCUCCAAACAAGCUCUUAAGGUCCAUUUAAGGAACAAUUUCCAGACAGCCAUGGUUGGCACAUUU